rnacentral:rRNA from 2 species
GGGUGUGAUCAUACCAGCACUAAUGCACCGGAUCCCAUAAGAAUUCUGCAGUUAAGUGUGCUUGAGCAAGAGUAGUACUAAGUUGGGUGACCACUUGGGAAGUCCUUGUGUUGCACCCU